UCCCUGGAGGUCCAGUGGUUAAGAUUCUGCCCUUCCACUGCAGGGGGUGUGGGUUUGAUCCCUGCUCUGGGAA
rnacentral:tRNA from 1 species